AAGAAAACGGCGGCGAUGGUGAGGAUUAGGACUAAGAUAGUGACGAUUCUGUAGCAGUUGUCGGGUACCCAUGCGGAGAAGUCGAGGUUUUUGGGUUCAGACAAUCUGUUGGGUUGAACAGUGGGGAGCUUUCUGUUCUGGGGAGGUUUUGGAGAUUUAGGAACUGCACGGUCUUGGACCAACAUUUGAUCUUUUCUUCUUGGAUAGAUUCUUCCAAACCUAAAUUCUUGCUAGAUCUUCACUUUUGCUCCUUAAUCUCAGCUUCACUCAUAGAUCCCCCAAUUGCUUUUCUAUUUAAUUUGCUGUUUCCGUUGUGUAAAAAAGAGGGAAAGAAACAGAAAGACAGUCACCUUGGAGUCUUUUUAAUGACCUCUGCCGACAGCUACAAGCGAACACACACAACUGGAUUUCGUAGGCUUCAAUGUAAAUUUUUAGCAACUGAUGAGUGGUAGUUUGGUGGGUCGUUGUCCUGUCUUCUUCUUCAAAUAUUUGAGUAUAAAAUACUAUUUUAGUAUAUUAUUCAACUCAUUCCAUAUUCAUCACUUAAUUAAUUUUUUUAUUAAUUAAUUUUUCGAAAUUAAAUAUUUUUAUCACUUUUCGCUUUGUUUUAAUGAAUGUUUAAGGUAGUUUUGUUUUGUUCACCUAAUACUAAAUUUAGUUUUUCAAUAUUUAUGUAUUCUAUAAAUUUGAUCUUAAAUUUAAAGUUUUUAACAAAUUUAGUCAUCAACGUUAACAAUAUUUACCAUUUUAGUCCUUAUUAUAAAAAUUGGAUAAAAUAUUUAAAAAUCUUAAAAAAUCUUAAUAAGUAAAUAUAAGUAUAUGUUUAAGAUUUUUGUACACAAAAUUACUUUAAACAAUAUCUUUCACUUUGUUCUUUCUUUCAUUCAAUUGAUAAAGUUAGAAAUAUCAAAUACAAUGGCCUUAACAUGCAAUCUCUCUCCAAUUCUUGAGUUAGAAAUGAUAAAAACAUGAAAAUACUAGAGCCUAAAACUAGUAUUAUAUAUGUAGCAAAGAGUAAGACCGUCGAAGUUAGUGUCGUCAACCCAUAUAGCUGAAGAAAAAAAAGGAGAUUGAAUAAAAAAUAACUUUAAUUUAUGGGGUUUUCACAUGUUUGAUUGAUAAGAAAAUGAGCAUGGUUGGUAAGAAAAAAAAGAGGUAAAAGGUAAUCCAUAACAAAAUCAUAAUCUUUAAGCAGUUCAACUCAUCUAUAUAGUCUCAAGUUUAGUUCCUUUUAAAUGAGCUAUACUUUACACUUUAAUGAUUAGUGAAUACAUGACACUUCUCACCAUAUAAAUAGUGUCUCUCAAUCAUUAAGGAAAAACUACUAUUGCAUACUCUAAUUCAUGAGUAAGAUAAUUCUUCUCGUGUGACUUGAGUUGUUGUGAAGCAUACGUAACUCCUUUGCUCUCUGGCAUUAAUACAAAACCUAGACCAUUGUGAGAUGCAUCACUAAAUACUAAAAAUUCUUUACUAUCACAGGUUAUGUCAAAACAGAUGCUUUUAUCAACAUUGCCUUUAAUCUCUCAAAAGUCUAUUGACACUUAUUCGACCAUUCAAACUUAACAAUUUUUUUUUUGCAGUAACUAGGUCAAACAAGAAGCAAUUAUCGAGAAUCAUUUUACAAACCUUCGAUAACAUCCGGCUAAAUUAAAGAAACUUCUUACUUUAGUGACAUUUUGUAACACCCCAUACCCAACCCGAUCAUCGAGUCUAAGCUACAAGAUGCCACAUUCAUUGCUAGAGCAACUACGAUCACAUUUGCAAUUCAAAUAAACAAUUUAUGUGUUAUUUUAAGCUCAAUACAUAAUUGCAAAAUGUUAUAUAAUUAAAUUCGGGAUAUAAACAAACCUAUGAAAGCUCUUUCUAUAAACUGAGGUUGGUUAAGGACUAAAAUAUAACAUUUUUAAAAUUCUCAGGUUGGCGUCGCGAUGUAGAAGGUAUCACGUCGCGACUUUGACAAAACAAUAAGUGUCAUCAAGACAUCAGAUAUCCAUAGUCAUGACACCACUUUCUAUCAAUUUCAUGUUUCAAUGUUGAAGGUCUGUCCUUUGGACGCCACCUACUAUUUUGCACAAUAUCCAUUAGGUACCAAUUCACAACUUACAAAAUGACGAAUUCUAUACCUAUUCAAUUUAAGCAAAGUACACACUUUCAAACAUAACAUAUGCCACAAAUCAAACAAGCAUUUCUAUUCAAAAUUUACCAAUUUGACUAUUCAAACUUAAAACCGACUCAACAUAUGUUACCAUUUGCAUAUUUCAACCAUUUCAACCUUAUCUCAUGAAUGCAUUUAACAAUUCAUAUGCUUGGGACUCAAAAUAACAUUACCAAUUUAAGAUUCCAAAAUGACUAUUUACAUUACAAAAGUGACUCAAUGUAACACCUUAUACCUGGCCUGAUCAUCUAACCUGAGCUAUAAGGUAUUACAGUUGUAAAGCAUUUCUAUCAUAUAAAGAUUCGACAAAAAUAACCAACAAAUCUAUUAAACAACAUUAACAACAAUAUGAUGUGAUUUACAAUCAAAACCUAGCAUUAAUUUAAUAUACAGGACCUUUAAAAAAACUUGGAAUCAAAUUAUGACUAAACUGAAACUUUUAUAAAAAUUCAGGUAAAAAGUGUAGUCCCUAGCAUGGCCGUGUUGUCUAACUGUGUAAUGACUCGAAUUUUACCGUUACCGAAAAAGUGUAUUUUCGGGUCUCCGUUUCUGAAAAAUGAAUUCGUAAAUAUUUAUUAAAAAUAUUUACGAAGUAAAAUGAGUGGUUAAUUAGAGUUUAAUUAAGUGAAUUUAAUUUAAUUAAGAGUAAUUAAGUAAAAGGACCAAAUUGAAUAAAGUGUGAAACUUGAAUUAUAGAUUAAAAGAAAAUAAAAAGGACUAAAAGGAUAAUUAUACAAAAAGUAUAAAUUGAGAAGGUUUAUCUAAGAUUUUUUUUAUGUUUAGUAUAUUAUUAUAUUAUUAUAUUAUUAUAUAAUAAAGAUACUUUAUGUUUUAAUUAUAUUAUAUUAUAUUAUAUUAUAUUAUAUUAUAUAUAUAAACUAAAGAAGCAAAUGAAAGGAAACAGAAACAGAAUGAAACGAAAACAGAGCAGGGGAGAAAAAGAAAGAAAGAAGGGGAGAAAAGGGAAAAUUGAAGGUUUGAAGCUUUAAGCUUUAAUAAGUAAGUCAAUCAAGCCAUUUUUACUUAAUUUUGAUGUUUUAGAAGUUUAGAACAAAGUUUUGAUGAAAUUAAGUUGAUAUUUUGAUAGUUAUUAAAUUUCUAGAUAUUGUCCAUGUUAAAUAAAAUGAUGAAUUAAGGGCUAAAUUGAUAGAAAUUCAAGUUAAAAAUGAUACAAGGAUUGAAUUGUAAACUGAUUCAUAAGUUUUAUGCUUUAAGGACUAAAUUGAAAGAAUUUCGAAAUUAUGGUUUUAUGAUGAAAAAUAGAUAAUUAUGUCUAAGUUUGGUUAAAAAUUGAGUAGAAAUAAAGUAUGAAUUAAGAUAGAAAAGUAAGUGAAUUUAGUUAGAAUUAAAUUGAAAUUAAAGUAAAUCAACAUUUUGUACUAAGACUAUUUUGGACAGCAGCAGUAGUCUAAGUUUGAAAAAUCACCAAAAAUUUUAUAAAUUGAAUUAUAGAAUGAAUAAAAUAUGAAAUUAAAUAUUAUUGAGUCUAGUUUCUUAUAGAAGAAACGAUAUAAGCAAUUGAAUUGUAAAUUAUGAGAUAUAAUGAAUUUUGUGAGAUAAGGUCAGAAUGAAUUCGGGUUCCCCUGUUCUGACUUUGGAAAAUCACCAAAAAUUGAAGAAAAAUAAUUAUAGGCUUAAAGUUAUAUGUUUAGAAUCCCUAAUGAGUCUAUUUUCAGGAGAAAUCAACGGGAAUAUUAUCCGAGUUCUGUAUUGUGAGAUAAUUAAUUUUUAGUGAAGAAGGGACGAAACUGUUAGACAGCAGAAUAGGGGUGAAUUUAAAGAAUAAACUGCACUUAAUGGCUAAACCAAAAAUUCUGAAAAUUUUAUUGUAAGAAGAUUUGUGAGUCUAGUUUCAGUAAAAAUUAGCGGAUCUUAAUUUAGAAUUCUGUAACUCAAGAUAUGAAUUAGUAAUGUAUUAAUGAUUAUGAAUUGUAUUAAUUUCGUAGUCAAUGUGGUACCGGAAAUCUCGACUAAGAAAGGACAAGACAAAGUCAACGGGAGCAAAAAUUACGGUUUGUAUUUCUAUAAUCCGAACUUAGUUAUUAUUUGUUAUAUUUAUAUACAUAUGGCAAUUGUUAGUGUUAGAAUUAUGAUAUUUUACAAUUAGAAUGGAUUGAUUUUGGUAUGCGAUGAAUUUAUUGAAUUUAUAUUGAUUGAAAUUAUUUUGAUUGAAUUUAUAUUGAUUGAAUUAUAUAAUAUAUAUGAUUUAUGUAGAAAUUUGAAUAUUGAAUGAAUAUUAUAUUGAAAAAAUAUAUUGAUUAGAAAUAUGAGGAAAUUGAUAUGAAUAUAUGAGAUUGUGAUAUUUGAAUAUUUGAUAUUGAAAAGUGAAUUGAAUUGUAUUGAAUUAUGAAUUAAUGUGAAUAAUUGAAAUAUAUUGUUGAAUUGAAUGAAAUUGUAUGAAUUGUGAAAAUGGGUGAAUAUAUGUGAUUAUCAGAAUGGUAUAUUGAUGAAAGAAUUAUUAAAUUGAGAAAGUGAAUGAAAUACCCUAUUAACUAGUCGGGCUGAGUCGGAUAUAAUUGGCAUGCCAUAGGAUCUGGAAGUGUACGGGAUUUGCCGGCUUUAUCGAUCAGACACUUUAUGUGUCAUAUAUCAGGCACCUCGUGUGUCGUAUCAGGCACCUCGUGUGUCGUUUUAGGCACUUUAUGUGUCGUAUACUGAUCAGGUACUAUGUACCGUUUUAGGCACAAUGUGCCGUACUGGUGUGUUUGGGUUGGAAUCCGUGUAUCCGUCAAAGUCCGGGUUUGUUAAUAGGGAUAAAUAAGUGAAAGAUAAAUCGAAUAAAUUUGAUUGAUCAAGCUAUUGAAAUGAAACGAGAAAUUGAAUUGAGAAUUGAAAAUUUAUAUGAAAUUGAAAAUAUGAACCAAAGGUUCAUGAAAUGAUUGGAGUUCGAAUUGAUGAUAUAUGAUGCCACUUGAUGAAUUGAAAUGUGAUUUGAGAUAUAUGAAUCGUAUGUAUAUACUGAAAGCUAUCAGGGAUAGUAAGUGGAUAUGAUAUAAAUAAAAUUGACUGUUAUUGAAAUGAAUUAAAAUGGAAUAUGAUUGAUAAGUGUAUAGUUGAAUAUACUUUAAUGAUAUUGAAUUGUGAAUAAAUUAAGGAAAGCUAUACCGAAUAGUAAGUGAAACAAUGGAGUAAAUAAUAAUGGAUUUAGUUAAGAAUUGAACAAUUAUGUUAUUGUGUUUAUUAUAUGAUUUGUAUAAAAUUUAUAUGGUAAGUAGUUGAAAUUUAUCUAUGAAUAAAUAAUUGAAUAAUUAUAAUUGUUAUUAUGAUCUUAAGUAUUUGUUAUAUUAUAAAUUGUUCGGAUUAUAGAAAUACCACUGAGUAUACCAUACUCAGCGUACGGUUUGUUUCCGUGCGCAGGUUAAGUAAAGAUAGUACGUUGAAUCAACAUCCCAGGCACGAAUUCAUUAAGGUAAAGUAUGUUGAGUAUUGAUAGUGGCAUGUACCCAGGAUGUUUAAUGAGAGUCAUUUAGGUUGUAAAAGUAUUGAUGAAAUGAGUAAAUUAUGGUUGGCAACAGUAUGUAAUAUGAAUUUUGAAAUUUACUAAAAAUUCGUAGUGAUUCUAAAUUAGUCCCGAAUUGAAAUUACUGUUCAUAUUGGACCGUAAGGGCCCAUUAAAGGGACGACAUAUUAAAACUAGGAUGUGUGUGAAUAUUUAUUUUAAUUAAUGACCGGAAUUGGACUGUACUGACUGGUAAUGUCUCGUAACCCUGUUCCGGUGACGGUAUAGGGUUAGGGGACGUUACAAACUGUGUAACAGAUUUAAACCGUGUACUCUUGAGACACACGAUCGUGUUACCAGACCGUGUAACUAACUAAGGUCGUGUGGACAAACCUCACCAAAAUUAAACACACCAUAUGGUCGUGUCAAUCAAUCGUGUGUGGUACACGAUCGUGUGGCAGGCCAUGUCACAGGCCGUGUGUAACAGCCCGUUUUAAGUCAAAUCGGAACAGUGGUUUUGGGACCACAAAUCUAAGAUCAAAAUAAUUAUUUUAUUUUCAUUUUAAUGUCUACAUCAUGAUAGUAUGAUUGUGUGAAAAUUUCGUUAAGAAAUUUUAUCGUUUGAAUGCUCGAUUUGAUAAGAAGGACUAAAUCGCGUAAAGAGUAAAACUUGAGUUUUAUUAGUUAAAGGUGUCUAAUAGCUAUGAAACUUUAAAGUGGAGGUCCUCAAGUGGUAAUUAGACCAUUAAUAUUAUUAGUGAAAAAUAUGGACAUCUUUUAAGUAAUGUUUAAUGGUUAAUUAAAAAGUUUAAAUUGGUAAUUUAGUUAAUAAAGACAAAUUAAAUAAAAAUAACAUGGCUAUCAUCUUUCUCCAUCUUAUUCCACUGAUUUUACAAAGAAAGAAAAGCCAUAAAACCUUGUUAAGUUCGACCAUGAUAGCUUGGAGUGCAUGGUAUGUAUUUUGACUCGGUUUUUAAUGAUUUCUAUGUUUUUGAGAUUAUUGCAGCUUAAUCUAGCUACCCCAAGGACUAACUUGCAAAAAUGUUAAAGGUUUAUGGUUUUUCCAUUGAUUAAUAUAUGUGUAUUUUGAUGUUUGAUGAUAGAAAAUGUAUGGUUGUUGUUAGAUAAACAACAUUUAUAAAGUGAUUUUUAGUAAAAUAUUUAAUUAGGGAUUUAUUUGUGAAAUAUGAAAAUAUUGUGGUUAAAUUGUGAAAUAAAUGAAAAUUGUGGGUUGCUAUAGUAAUAAGAGAAAUUCGGCUAGCAUGGGUAGGGAUCUAAUUGCAUGAAUUUGUAUUUUUAUGAGUUAAGGACUAAAUUGUAAAGAAAUUGAAAUAUUAGGGGAAAAAGUGUAAAGUUGCCAUAAUGUGAUUUUUGGGAUAAAUUGAAUAGAUUGAUGAUUAAAUAAUCUAAAUUUAAUUACAUAUAGAUCAAGAAAAGCAAAGUUCGAAUCUAGAUCGGAGGAAAAACAAAGUUUUGGACUAAUUAAUCUAUUUCGUCGUUUUUGCGAUUGAGGUAAGUUCGUAUGUUAAUAAACAUUCUUGUAAUUGUGUUUUAAAUGCUUUAUAUUUGAAUUGUUGAUGAAUAUGGUUGUACGGAAAUGUUCAACGAAGAGUCGGCAAUGAGAAAUCCCGAUUGAACCUUAGGAAUAGAUUAUGAUACGAAUGACAUGUCACUAGGGGUUAUGUGAUUUGGGUGCUGGUCCGUACGUCCUACAAGUGGCUAAGUUAUCUGGCAUGCGUUGCAGAUUCUCGUCAGCUCGUGUGAGGAACACCAUGUAGCUACGUUAUGACCGUCAACUUGUGUGUGCAGACCAAUUGAUAGCUCGAGAGUGAGCAUUACAUGUGAUAUGAGAUUGAGAUAGCUUUGGCUAUGCAUUGGCACUUAGGGUGCAAGAUACCCGAGUAUUCGGUAGUAUUCCAAAUGGUUCAAUAGGUAUAUCAAGGAUAUAGAUGAGUAUGAAAUUGAUACGAGCUUGUAUAGGUAUGUACGUAAACUAUACAAUCAUUAAAUCAAAGAAGUUGAUGGAAAUUGUGUUUAAUCCUUGGGUUGAAUAUAUGUGUUAAGUUAUGCUUCAAAUUUGAAUUGCAUUAUAUGAUGUUUAUGUUAUUGAAUUGUUGGUUGGUAAGUUUUACUUACUUAGCAUACGAGCUUACUAAGCUUUAUAGCUUACUCUAUUUACUUUUCCAUGUUUUAUAGUGAUUAUCAAAGCUUGCUCGGAUUUAAGAAUCAUCGGAGAUCUCAUCACACAAUCAAGCUAUCACUUUGGUACUUUUGAACUUAUGUAGUUUGGUAUAUGGCAUGUAUAGGAUUUAUGGUCAUUUUGCUAUAUGUUAAUAAUGGAUUUAGCCAUUUGAGUUGGCUUGUAAAUGAUGAAUGCUUUGUUAUGUGUAUAGCCAUGUGAUUUGGCUUAUUUUGGUAUGUUUGGUGAUGUAUGUUGUAACACCCCCUACCCGUAUCCAUUGCCGGAAUAGGUACGAGGCAUUACCAGAGUUUACUGAAUAUUUUCAGAUAAUUCUGAGUCAUUUAUUAUUCAUAUUUUGAAAAUAAUCAUAACGUCUCUCUAUUGGGCCCUCGAAGCCCCAAACAUACAUUAAAAACCAACCGGAAUUAAAUCGAGAUCAUAAAAAAAAUUUCGCAAAAUCUUAAAUUUUAUUCUUAUCUAAGUACUUACCAUUUCAAUGCUUCUUAUAAUUAAACAUGUUACCAUUCAAUCAAUAGCUUGGCACUUGUCUAAGCGUCAAACAACAUCAUUGUUAGUAUACUUGCACAUAUUUCAUAUAAAUUCAACAUUGAUAUACUUAUUUUCUCGACAUGUUAGACUUGAGUUUAAUAAUUGUCUUUACUUACAUAAUUUCCUUGUAUCAACAUAUCAAAGAUAAUCAUAUGUACAUGUCAUGAAACAUAUCAUUCUCUUACCGUUUUUUAAUAAGUAUAUAUCAAUCAUUUCAUUAUAUCAAUAUUUCAUGCUCCAUCAUUUCCAUAUAUUUUAUGCAUAUUUAUUCCGGUAAAAUUUAUAUCAAACUUAACAUAAAUUAUAUUCCAUGUACUUAUUCGUAUUUCGUUUAUGUAUCUUCAUAAUUAUUUCAUACAACUAUUUUGUACAUAUAUUUCCAUAUGACCAGUUCUUGUAAACAUUUCACACAACCAUUUCAUAUAACCAUUCGUCAUCUGAUACAUAUUACCUGAAUAUCAAUUGUUUAAUAGAUGUCAUUUCAUCUCCCAUCCACGGUCUUAUUUAUCUUUGACAUGAUGCCAUAAUGUCUUUCAACUAUGGUCUUACUCAUUUUCUGUCAUGUUGCCAUGGUAUCUUUCAACCAUGGUCUUAUUCAUUUCAUGUCACGUUGCCAUGGUAUCUUUCAACCAUGGUCUUAUUCAUUUCCCGUCAUGUUGCCAUGGUAUCUUUCAACCACGGUCUUAUUCAUUUCAUAUCACGUUGCCAUGGUAUCUUUCAACCAUGGUCUUACACAUUUCAUAUCAGGUUGCCAUGGUAUCUUUCAACCAUGGUCUUACACAUUUCAUAUCAGAGAGCACACUCCCGCGAACCUCAUCCUUACAGUGGAAUUACCAGUCCAGGCUAAAUCCCCUAUAAUAUAAACUCAUAGAGUAUUGUCGGGAUUACCAGUCCAGGCUAAAUCCCCUGUAACGACAAUUACUCUAAUGAGCUUGGAUCUGAAUUACCAGUCCAGGCUAAAUUCAGACCCUGAUUCGGAUUACCCGUCCGGGCUAAAUCCAUUUACCCGUAUUCUUCAGAAGGGCUAUAUCAGGAUAGGAUCACCCGUCCGGGCUAGAUCCUUUUUAACGUCAAUUCUUUUUCAGAGAUCCAUCGAAUUUUCCUUUCAUUCAACCGGGAUUUCUUCCCCUUUUUAUCAAAUAUGUUAAUGUUUCAUCAAUUUUCAUACAAUGAACAUUCAAAUCAUAUUCAUAUCAAAAACAUACAUUUCAAGCAUUUAAGAAUAAAAUUCAAGUUAUACGAACUUACCUAGCAAAAUUGCAGAAAUAUUAAGAUUUAGGGACAUUUUGGUAAUUUACCAUUUUCCUAAUUUUCACCCCAUCUUAAAUUAAAAAUUUCAUUCAAUUUAUUAAUUUAGAUAAUAAAACAAUUCAUUCCCUUCAAUUUGGUCAUUUUGACAUUUUUACAAAAUUACCCCUAAAGUUUUACUUUUAUUCAAUUUAGUCCUUAAGCCUAAAACAUGCAAAUUAGCUAUGCUAGCUGAAUAUUCAUAUAUAUUUUCCUCUUCCUCCUCUCCAUUCCACAUCCUUAAUGUAUAUAACACAUUUGUAAGUAACAUUAUCUAUAAUCUUUAUUAUUUACUUUUAUGAAUAUUCAAGUUAUCCAUCUGUGUCAUAGUCACUAAAUUAUUUAUAUCUGGAGCUAUAGAACUCAAAAUUAAGAUCCGAUAAUUUUUCCUGAAACUAGACUCAUAUAUAUUCUUACCAUAAAAUUUUCAGAAUUUUUGGUUUAGUCAAUAAGUACAGUUUAUUCUUUAAAGUUACCCCUGUUCUGCUGUCUGACAGUUAUGACCCUUCUUCACUAAAAAUUAAUUAUCUCAUCGUACAGAAUUCUAAUGAUGUUUCCGUUUAUUUCUCUUGAAAAUAUACUCAUUCAAGAUUCUAUAAAUAUAAAUUUAAUCCCAUAAUUAUUUUUCUCCAAUUUUUUAUGAUUUUUAAAAGUCAUAACAGGGGAACCCGAAAUCAUUCUGACCUUGUCUCACAAAAUUUAUUAUAUCUCAUGAUUUACAAUUCCAUUGCUUACAUAAUUUCUUCUAUAAGAAACUAGACUCAAUAAGAUUUAAUUUCAUAUUUUAUUCAUCCUAUAAUUCGAUUUAUACAAUUUUUUGUCAUUUUUCCAAGUUAGACUACUGCUGCUGUCUAGAACUGUUUUAGUGCAAGAUAUUAAUUACCAUGUUUAUAACACCCUUAUUUUCUUUUUCUACACUAUUUCUCAUCACUUUCUCUAAUUUUCUCUUCACUAACAUGACAAGAACAUAAGACCAUAUAUAAGAAAACUCUAAAUCAACAUCAAUUCCAUGCUUUUUCAACAAUAUUAAACUUAAAAAUAUAUUGAAAUCUUGAUGUUCUUACCUUUUCUUAUUGACUUCAUCAUCUCCUUGUUAUCUUUCUCUCUUGAUGGCUAUGGAAAUUCUUUCAAUUUUUAGGUGAAAAUAAUGAAUUUUUGGUGGAAAGACUAAAUUGUAAAGAAAGAAAACUUAUUUUCUUCUUCUUCUCUUACGUUGAUUUGCAUGGGAAAGGAAAGAUGAUGAUAAUUCUUCAUCUUUCCUUCCUUUUAUACUAAAUAAAUAAUAAUAUAAUAAUAAAUAUCUCAUAAAAAUAUUAAUAAAAUAAUAUUUAUCUAAUUAAUUAAUUUAAAAUAUCAUCACCAUAAUCAUUACAUUCUAGAAUUCUCUCUCUUACUAAUUGACCAUUUUGCCCUUCAUGAUCUUUUAGAAUUCCAUCCUUGAGUCAUCACUUAAUUUGAUAAAAUUGCGAUUUAGUCCCUCAUAAUUUUUCACCUAUUCAAUUUGGUCCUAAUUCAUCAAUUUUUCUUGGUUUCUAGAUCAUUCCACCCUUAAAAUAUUUGCACCAUUAGUCUUUCAACUUUUUUAUAUUUACACUUCAACCCCUUAAAUUUUGAGUAUUUACUCUUGUGCAACAAGACUUUUCUCAUCUUUGCAAUUUAGUCCUUUCUUGAAUUAAUAUAUCAUAAAAUUCUUCCCAAUAUUGACAUAACUCAAAAUUUUCCUUUUUGUCACUUUAUUUCCUUAUUUUACUAUAUCACGGAUAAUAUUUUACUGAAAAAAUUUUCGGGGUAUUACAUAUGUAUAUAUGUGAGAAAGGCCUUUUGAUAUGUUGUGUAAUAUUGCCAUUUAAAUGCUUGUUGUGAGUUGGCAUUAUGGAUGUUAAAUGGUUGAAAUUUGAAGUUGAUAUGCUUAUGGCUUUAGAUAAAAUAGUGCAUAAUUGAAUGUGACCAUUUCGGUGAUUUGAGAAUGUGAAUUUGGUAUGAAAUUAAAUAGCAUAUUGUGGUAAUUGUGUGCCUUGUAGUUCUUGGUAUUGUUAUAGCAUGAAAUGAACUUGGUUUGGAUGAGUUUAAAUGCCAUUUGAAGUUGUGGUUAUACGCAAAUUUGGUUGAUGUAGUUGAAUGAAAAUUGGGUGAGAAAAAUGGCUUGGUAAAUAACAUAUUUUUGUCUAUAUGGGCAGAGACACGAGCGUGCGUUUCAACUGUGUGUGAUACACGGUCUUGUGACACGGUUGUAUGUCCCCUGGUGUUUAAUUAGAAAUCAAGUCAGUAUGCUCCACACGACUCAGCACACAGGCGUGUGACUUAGCCAUGUGGCAUAAGUCAGUAUACGCUACAGGUUUGGCAUGGCCUAGCACACGGCCUGGCACACGGGAGUGUGAGGCCAUUUCAAAAGGCACACGGGCUUGUGGUUGGCCGUGUGACCCAAUUCAGAGAGUUACACGAAGUCAGACAUGGGUUGGGACACAGCCAUGUGAUCCCAAUUUGAAUGUCCACACGACCUGUGACACGAGCAUGUCUUUGGCCGUGUGAGACACACGGUCUGGCCACACGGGCAUGUGUCCUCUGUAUUUUGAAUUUUUUUAAGUUUUUUAAAAGUUUCCUAAGUUGUCGAUUUAGUCCUGAACCACUCCUAAAGCAUGUUUUAGGCCUCGUAGGCUCGUAUUAGGGACGUUAUGAAUAAUUGUGAAUAUUUUAUAUUUGGAAUGGAAAAUUUGUAUAAGAAAUGUAUGUUUAUUUGUGAAAUAAGUUUGGUAAUGCUCUGUAACCCUAUUUCGGCAAUGAAUACGGGUGACGGGUGUUACACCGUAUGCACUAGAACAUGCCUUCAAAACCAAGUCAUUUCACCUAUAAUUACUUAGACCACAAGUCAUGCAAUUAUCAUCCAUUAUACCUACCUAAAAUGCAUCAAAACUUACCAAAAUAUACUAAACAACAUCCAACUUAAGUGUCUAAUCAAUAUGUAACGUCCCCUAACCCUAUACCGUCUCCGAAAUAGGGUUACGAGACAUUACCAGUCAGUACAGUCCAAUUUUGGUCAUUAAUUAAAAUAAAAAUUCACACACAUCCUAAUUUUAAGAUGUCGUCCCUUUAAUGGGCCCUCGCGGUCCAAUAUGAACAGUGAAUUCAAUUCGGGACUAAUUUAGAAUCACUACGAGUUUUUAGUAAAUUUCAAAAUUCAUACUACAUACCGUUGACAACCAUAAUUUACUCAUUUCAUCAAUACUUCUACAACCUAAAUGACUCUCAUAAAACAUCCUAGGUAUAUGCCAUUACUAAUACUCAACAUACUUUACCUCAUUGAAUUCGGGAUCGGCCUGGGAUGCUGAUUCAAUAGUCUAGCCUUAACUUAACCUGCACACGGAAACAAACCGUACGCUGAGUAUACACUCAGUGGUAUUUCUAUAAUCUAAACACUUAAACAAUUAUAAAACAUAUUAAUUUAUAUAUAUAUAUUGAACUAUUCAAACUCAAUGAGAAUUCAAACAUUCACUUUCCAACCAAUGUUUUGGUCUACUUUAAAUUCAAAAUCAUUUAUUUUUUUCAAUGGCAAUUAAUCAAUUAGUAAUGUUCAUUAACUCUCAGAACAAUUAUUUAUUCAGUAACAGUCAGUUAUUCGGUAACAAUAAAUUAUUCAAUAAUAACCAGUUAUUCAGUAUCGAUCAAUUGAUUGGUUAUCCAGUAACAGUCAAUUAUUCAGUAAAAUCAGAUAUUCAGUAACAAUUAAGUUAUUCAGUAGCAGUCAUUCAUUCAGUGACAAUCAGUUAUUCAGUAAUGAUCAAUUAUUCAGUAAUAUUCAGUUAUUCAGUAACAGCCUAAUAUCCAGUAACAGUCAAUUAUCCGGUAACAGUCAAUUAUUCAGUAAUAAUCAGUUAUUUUAUACCUUUAUUUACCCCUAUUAACAUGACUCGGACUCAGACGGAUACGCGGAUCCAACCAACACACCAGUACGGCACAUAGUGCCUCAUCGGCCGAAGCCGGAACAGUAACAGUAACGGUAACAGUAACAAUAUCCGACACACAAAGUGCCGAAUCGGUAACAGUAACGAUAACAAUAACAGUAGUCGACACAUAAAUGCCUGAUCAGUAAGCCGGCAAAAACCCGAACUCUUUCAUAUCCUAUGGCAUGCCAACUAUAUCCGACUAGCCCGACUAGUUAAUAGGGUAUUUAAUUCACUUUUCAGUUUUCAAUUAAUUCAUAUUUUAAUUAAUUAAUUAUAUAUAUUUUUUUCAAUUCAAUAUAAUUCUAUUCAUUUUUCACUAAUAAAUAUUCAAUUCACAAUAAACACAUGUUCAUAAUUAUUUCACCACAUUUUCAAAUCAAAUCAUUUCAAUAAAAACACAAUACCAAUAAUUCAUACUUUAAUUAUUUACCAUAACAUUCAAUUAAAAUACAACAAUUAUUAAUUAAAUUCACCCUUCAAUUUCAAUCAAUAUUCAUUUUAUUUCAAAUAAUUUAAUCAAUGCACCUACCAUACAUAAUAAAUAAUAAAUUCAAUAAUUAAAUAUUAAGUUCGGGUUAUAGAAAUACAAACCGUAAUUUUCGAGCUAACUCCGGUUGACUUUAUAUUGUCCUUUCUUAGCCGAGAUUUCCGGUACCACAUUGACUACGAAAGUAAUACAAUUCAUAAUCAUUAAUACAUUACUAAUUUAUAUCUUGAGUUACAGAAUUCUAAAUUAAGAUCCGCUAAUUUCUCUUGAAACUAGACUCACAAAUCUUCUUACCAUAAAAUUUUCAGAAUUUUUCAUUUAGCCAUUAAAUACAGUUUAUUCUUUAAAUUCACCCUUAUUCUGCUGUCUGACAGUUUCGACCAUUCUUCACUAAAAAUUAAUUAUCUCAUAGUGCAGAACUCAGAUAAUAUUCCCGUUGAUUUCUCCUGAAAAUAGACUCAUUAGGGAUUCUAAAAAUAUAACUUUAAGCCUCUAAUUAUUUUUCUCCAAUUUUUGGUGAUUUUCCAAAGUCAAAACAGGGGAACCCAAAUUCAUUCUGACCUUGUCUUACAAAACUCAUUAUAUCUCAUAAUUUACAAUUCAAUUGCUCACACUGUUUCUUAUAUAAGAAAUUAGACUCAAUAAACUUUAAUUCCAUAUUUUAUUCACCCUCUAAUUCAAUUUCUACAAUUUUUUGGUGAUUUUUCAAACUUAGACUACUGCUGCUGUCCCAAACAGUCUUAAUACAAAAUGUUGAUUUUCUACUUUAAUUUCAAUUUAAUCCUAACUAAAUUCACUUACUUUUCUAUCUUAAUUCAUACUUUAUUCCUACUCAAUUUUUAACUAAACUUAGACAUAAUUAUCUAUUUUUCAUCAUAAAACCAUAAUUUUGAAAUUCUUUCAAUUUAGUCCUUAAAGCAUAAAACUUAUGAAUUACUUUACAAUUCAAUCCUUAUUUCAUUUCUAACUUGAAUUUCUAUCAAUUUAGCCCUUAAUUCAUCUUUUUGUUCAACAAAAACAAUGUCUUAUAACCAACUAUCUUACAAUAUAUCAACUUAACUUUAUCAAAACCUUGUUCUAAAGUUUCUAAAACAUAAAAAUUAAAUAAAAAGGGCUAAAUUAACUUACCUAUUUAAGCUUCAAGCAUCAAACUUUCAAUUUUCUCUUUCUUCUUUCUUCUUUCUUUUCUCCUUUCUUUCUUUCUUUCCCUGCUUUUCGUUUUGCCUAUUCUGUUUCUAUUUCUAUUUUUUUUUUCAUUAAACCAUUAUAUAUAUAAUAUAAUAACCUAAUAAUUAUCUAUUAUAAAAAUCUAUUUAAUAACAAAUAUUCUUUUAACAUUUGUAUCCAUUUAUAAUAUUACACUUGUCUUUCACUAAUGUAUUUAUUAUAUAAUUAUCUUUUACUUAAUAAUAAUAUAUAAUUUAAUAAUAUACUUAUAUAAUAAGUAAAUAUACAUGUAUUUUACAAAUGUACAUAUACUAAUAUUACGCAUGUCACUAUACAUACCAUACACUUGUCAACUUUUUAUUUAUUUUUCACAUAAAAAUCUUAUAAUAUAAUUAUUUAAUUAAUAAAUACCUUUUAUAAAUAAUUAAUAUCUAUUAAUACUUAAAUACAAGCAUUACAAGUGUAUGUAUUUUUUUUAUUAAUACACUUGUACCCAAUCAUUACCACACAUUUGUCUUACUUUUAUUUAUUUAUCAUAUAAUAUUAAUUUAAUAAUAAUAAAUACACUAAUAUUUACUUAAAUAAUAAGCAAAUACAUACAUUUAUUACAAAUGUGUGUAUUAUAUUUAUUACACUUGUAUUUUAUUUUUGCCAUAUACUUAGCACUCUUUUUGGCUUAUUUACUUAUUUAGUCCUUUCAAUUUUCUUUAUUCUAUAAUUAAACUUUCACACUUCAUUCAAUUUAAUCCUUUUAUCCAAUUAUCCUUAAUUUAAGCUAGUUCACUUAAUUAAAUUCUAAUUAACCACUCGAUUAACUUUGUAAAUAUUUUUAAUAAAUAUUUACUAAUCCAUUUUUCAGAAAUGGAGACCCAAAAAUACACUUUUUUGAUAACAGUAAAAUUUGGGUCAUUACACAAUAUGCCCUCAUUGGCACCACAAUUCAAACAUUAAAACAUAAAUCAUUCAAACAUAACAACCUAACAUUCCAUACCUAUUACACCAUUAGACAAAUAUUAUUUCCUCAUGUUCACAUUCAUAAAACAAAGUUUAUCAUUUUACCAAGUACAUAAACAUCAUUUCAUAGACAAAUACCAUGUAGGUACCUAACAUGAUUAUGCCACUUAACACCACCAACAACCAAAAUAAUAUUUAAGCUUUACAUUUAACUACUCAAUUCACAUACAAGGUGACAUAAACUUCAACCAAAGUUCUCAUAUACAAAAGUUACCAAACUCUAUUUACGUGCCACUUAUUGUAAUGACCCAAAAUUCAUGGGCACCGAAAAAGUACAUUAUCGGGCCUCCGUCUUAGUAAAUCGAGUUCGUAAAUAAGUAUUAGGAAUAAUUAUGAGUCCAGUAGUGUGUCUAAUUAAGUUUUAAUUAGGUGAACUUAGCUUAAUUAAGAGUAAUUAAGAAAAAGGAUUAAAUUGAAUAAAGGGAAAAUGUUCAAUUAUAGAUCAAUAGAAAAUAAAAAGGACCAAACUGGAAAUUGUACCAAUUAGCAUAGAUGAGGCGGCAUAAGCUGUUAAAGAUCUAAGGUUUUUCUUAGAUAAUUGUAUAUUAAUUAAUUAGUUAUUAUUACUAUUAUUUUAUUUAAGUUAUAAAUUAUAUUAAAUAAUAUUAUAUUUAGAAUUAAAUUAAGUAAAAAAAAUGUUUGAAAAAGAAAAUAAACAUGUGAAAUAAUACAUGAAUAUACACUUGUAACAUGAUUACAUGUUUUCUUAUUAAUUAAGUAGAAGAUAUUUAUAUAUUAUAUAAUUAAAUUAUUAUAAUAUAUUAUUAGUAACUAAAACAAAUAAAAGAAAUAGAAUAAAGAAAAGAACAAAGAAAAGAAAACAGAAAGCAAUCGAACAGGGAAGGAAAGGAGAAAAAAAAAGGGGUGGGGGUGGGGGUUUUUGAAGCUUGGAGUUUAAUUGUUAACAAAGAACCUAAGAUACCGGUGCACAAAGGAAACGAGAAAGCUAUCGAGGAUUAAAAUGAGAAAUUUACAGUUUGUCUUAUUAUAAUUCAAAUUACUUUUUAUUAAAUGUUUUAUAUAAAUUCUAUAUUUAAUAAGUGAGUUAUAAGGUAAGUAUUGAUAUUUGAGUUGAAUGGGAAUUGAAUUGAAUGGUGAAUGUGUAUGUAUAAUUGAAUUGUAAAUUGAUUUGAAUGUGAAAUUGUAAUUGAAAAGUGAUAUUGGAUUGGAAAUGAAAGUGAAUUGAGAAUUGAAAUACCCUAUUAACUAGUCGGGCUGAGUCGAAUAUAAUUGGCAUGCCAUAAGAUCUAGAAGUGCACGGGAUUUGCCAGCUUUACCGAUCAGGCACCUCGUGUGCUGUAUCAGGCACCUUGUGUGUCGUUUUAGGCACUUUAUGUGUCGUAUAUUGAUCAGGUACUAUGUACCGUUUUAGGUACUAUGUACCGUUUUAGGCACAAUGUGCCGUAUUGGUGUGUUUGGGUUAGAAUCUGUGUAUCCGUCAAAGUCCGGGUUUGUUAAUAGGGUGAACAACUAAAAUGAGAAAUUUAAAAUAAAUUGAUUAAUUAUAUUAUUGAAAUAUUGAAAGAAAUGAGAAAGUUGAAUUAUGGAUUGAAAUUGAGAUUGAAAAUGAAAGGCAUGAACUUAAUGUUCAUGUAGUGAUUGAAAUUGUUACAUGUGAUAUGUGAUGGAAAUUGAAGAAUAGCUAAAAAUUGUAUUGUUAUUAUUAAUUAAUGAAAGUUUAAAAAUGAUUUGAUAUUUGAGAAAUUGAAUAGUUACAUGUUUGAUAAUUAUAAUUCUUUAUUGCUAUUAUAAUUUGAAUUAUGGUAAUACCACUGAGUAUGGAAUACUCAGUGUGCGGUUGUUUUCGUGCGCAGGUUAAUAAGAGUCCAGUGUCCCGGUCCAGCAUCCGAACGAUCCCGACUCUAGCAAAAAGAUUUUUGGUGAUAUUUUCUUUUCUUAAUUGAAAGUGGCAUGUACUAGGUGUUGUAUAGGUUACAUAGAUAUGCUUGUAAUGUUGGUUGUAAGAAUGGUAUACCAUAUUUUAUUAUUAGUUUGAUAAAAUGGUAAAGAUUAUAAUAUAUAAUUUGGUAUUAAGUUAGAAUGAAAAAUGAAUGAAGUUAUUAGUUAAUUUUGAUUAAUAUUAUGAAUGUUUAGUUAUUAAAUUAAUAUGUUAAUGAAUUGGUUAUGAUUUAGGUGUAUUUAGGUUUAAAUUGUUUUUGAUUGUGCCAUUAAUUUUGGAUUAGUUGGUUUCUGGUUUGAACUUGCAGGGGGUUUUAUGUAAAAAUAAUAAGAAAUGCUAUCGAAAUUUUUAUAAAAAAAUAUUGAAUGGAUGAAGUCAAUUACAAAUAAAAAUAUAAUUUAUAUGAAUUUAUGAUUAUAUUAUAAUAUGUUUGUUAAAUAAUUAAUUUUUUAAUUUUAAUUUUUUAUUAAGAAUUAUCCGUAACUUGUCUGAUUUGUCUGGUAAUGCCCCGUAACCCUGUUCCGGUGACAGUUUAGGGUUGAAGGGUAUUACACUUAUAAUCGAGUCAAAAUAAGUAAACAGUUGCUGAGAAAGUUGACGAAUAGUGUGAUCUCCAAAAAUGAUAAAAUCGACAAUUCGAGCCUGACAAUCUACAAUGAAGAAAACAAAAUGAGAUAAGUUUACAUAAAGCUUAGUAAGUUCAUAUAGUUAAAACAUCACAUACCUAUCAUUUUAAGCAUUAACUAGAAUUUCAUGCCUUGUUUCACAUUUCCUACCAUAUCAAAUGGUUAAACAUGUACAUAUAAUAUUAGAAAAUAUCAAGAUACAUGAUUCACAUAUCAAUUUACAACCAUUACAUGCAUUUAACCAUUCAUGCCAUGAACUUUAUUUCGAAACAUUCCAUUAAUCGUUUUGCUUGGAGAACAAUAGCAAAUUAAUUUUGGAUACACAAGAAUAAUGCUUACACGAGUUGAUAAUCAAGAAUGUUGUUCACAAAAGCUUACAAGAAUCUGCAACAAAUAACAGAUUCCAGCCAUCGGUAUGGUAUCCACCACCUGUACAUAGUACCUGGAAAUAUAUCAGUAGCACAAAGUGCUUGGAAUUGUAACAUCGGUAUAUAGUACCUGAAAAUAUAUAUAUCAUUGGCACAAAGUGUCUUGAACUGUAAUCAUCGACACCUAGUGUCUGGAACACCCUAAUAACAUGUCAUUUGUAUCCUUACUAUUCACCGAAUUCACACAGACUUAACUUGUACACCUUAACCUUUUCAUAAUUAAAACCUCAUACCAUGAUCAACUUGAUCUCAAACAUUCCAUAUAAUAACAUAAUACAAUUCAAACAAGUAAAAUUACCAUGCUUUACAUUUCAAACCUUUGUUCCACCAUCAAACUUACCUUAAUUAACCAUGUCCAUCAUACAUAUAUACUUAUACACAUAUAUGAUUAGAAUUCAAAACAUUAAUAAUUGUAACAAAUUUACCUAAACAUACAUAAUUUACUAAAAGCGGAUAAAGAAAUCACUCACAUGGAAGGAGUCUUGUUGGCCGAACUUAAGAAGCUUUAACAAUGGGAUUUUGAAGCUUAUUUUCUGUGGUAACCUUAAGAAGAUGAUGAUUCUUUUCUUUUUGCUUUAUUAUUUAACAUAUAUUAUUAUUAAAUAAAUAUAUUUUAACAUAUAAAAUGCUUAACAACCCAUUAACCGUCCACUUAGACUAAUUAUGGUCUUAAAUACUUUAAAAAAUCUUUAAUCAUGCAUAUUAACUAAUAAGAAAUCAAUAUCAGUUAAAUUUUUGUAAUUUUUACGAUUUAGUUAUUUUUUCUUAAUUAACUAUCUAAAUAUUAAAAUUACCUAACUAAGUUUUAAUAUGGCACUAUAGUAACCCUGUAAAUAUUAAAUAAAUGAUAAUUAUUGAUUCACUAGUCGAAAUUAUGGUCCCAAAAUCAUUGUUUCUAACACUAUUGGAAACGGAUUGUUACACUCAAACUUUCGGUACAUGCCAUAUAUUGAAAUCAUAAGGGAAAUAUGUGAGUCAAGAGUUGUGGAUUGGAUGCCGAAUCACUUCUCAGGUCUUCGAGAUCUACUAAUACCUGCGCAUGAAAAUAAACAAACUGUACACUAAACAACAAAGCUAAGUGGUACUUUCAUUAUUUAAGUCAAUAAAGCAAAAGCAUAAUCAUGUUAAGAUACAACCAAUACGUUUAAAUCUAAAAAUCAUCUCAUCACCACACAUCACCAUAAAAAUUAAUAUUGAACCAUAUUUUAGUCUCAAAUUACCAAAUGCCCUCAGGAGCAAAAUUAUCAUUUUACCCCAUCAUCUCGUAUUUUACUUGAUUAAAAGCUCGAAACUCUAAAAUAUGUCAAGAUGCAUUUUAAUGACCUCCUAAUAGUAUAAAAAUAAUUAAAUCUAUUACAAAUGAAUUCUCUCGUCGGAUAUACGGAUAAAAUUAUCAGAAUAGUCUCGUACAAAAUACCAAAAAAUUCGGGGCUUUACAACUCUUUCGAGAGAAGUUUUCAAAAUGUCAUUCAUUGGUUGUUAACCAGUCUCCCAACAACUGAAGAUAUUGUCCCUCAGGAGGUUAUCUCUCACACUCGUGACUACAUAAUUAUUCUCAUGCCCCAUAUUAGCACCUCUCCCUUAAGUCUUGUAGGUCCACCAACCGAGGCACUCUCUACUCAGUGAACUAGGACCAUUGGGUAGGUGCUCAUAGCACGUUGGCUCUUGACAAAGUAUGAAAGACAAAACUCUCAUUGAGAGACAAUACCUUCAGUUGUUGGGGGAUUGGUCAGGUGCCCGACAGAUGACACUUCGUAUACUUCUCCUGAAGGAGUGGAUCCCCCUCAACAGUCCAUACCCCUCAAACCCUUAAAUCAGAAGAAAAUAUGGGAUUAAGCGCCCUUGAACCUACCUUUUCCUAAUUAUUACAAUAACUAUGAUGCCACUUAACUUAAGCCUCAAUUGACACUACAUCGAAGUUCUUUUUAAAAUGAUAUAAACCUAUGUAUUAUUACAACUAAGUUUUUUUUUAAAAUAUACAAAUCUAAUUCGGCAAGUGAAAACAAUAAAAAAAAAAUUUAUUUUUGUAUAAAAAUAAAAUUUACAUCUAAUUGCUCAUGAAAUAAAAUUUGAAUGUUUAAUCCUUCAAAUUUAAAAUAUAUAAGGUAAAAAAUCAUUUUAAUUCAUUUUAAUUUUAAUAUUAAGUAAAUUGAUAAAUUAGAACAAUUUACUCUUUAUCAUAUUUGAAAGUAAGUAACAAAGAACAAUUAAUUAUAAUAUUAAUAUUAUUUUAAUAACUGUAUAUAUUUUAUUAGUUUAAUAAAAAUUUAACCCUCAAUAUUUAUAAUUUUUGUGUAAAAUAUAGACCAAAAAUAUAUAUAUUAUGACUAAAUUUAUUAAAUUAAAAUCAAAUUAACAUAAUAUGUAAAAUUAAUUCUCCGCCUGAAAUUUCAGUAAGCAUUAAAAUCAGAAAACAAGAUUGAAAAUUAACAGAGAGCUUCUCAUGUAUAUACUGAUGAGCCCAAAAGACCAGAAUCAUUUCAUUUCUCUUCAAAUAGAAUCUGCAACCAGUAAUGAAUCAUACAAAUGUAAUGAAUCUACAGAGGAACUUACAAAAAGAACACCCCCUUUCCCCCUGAAAAAUGAUUAUGGAACAAGUAAAGAAAAGAAAGAAAAAGAAAAAGAAAAAAACAGUUUUUCAUAUUACAAUUACAAAAGUAGUACAUGUUUCUUUCCUCCACACUACUGCCUUUCAUUCAUGUUCAAACUAACUCCGUUAAGAGAGGAUCACCUUCACCCAUUAUUCUGAUUAGCUUUAUGAAUUCCUGCUCGCUUGACACCUUCCAUGGAUGCACCGCAGGUGCGUGUGUGGAAUAAUGUGUCGAAGAAGAAUUAGCAGAUUGUGCUUCUGGCUUAUACACCAUUGUACUAAGCACUGAAUCGAAAUUCUGAGGUGAAUCCAUUGACAAAAAGAACAUGGGUAUGGAAACCUUUUGAUGGAUAUCUAGAUGUCCUACCAGAUUAACAAGAUCAACAAAGUCCGCUACAAACCGUCGAGGAAUGUAGAAUAUCUCAGAACUGCAAAUUGUGAGGCUCUGGUCACUCCUCACAACUUCUCUAUAGUUCACUUGGAAGUGAACCGGCAUUGUACUAACUACCUUCCUUACCAGCUCCGCUUGCUUCGAGUACCAAUCAGAACUUCCUUUGGUUGAUGCAGUACUCCAAGACAUGGAUACCUAAAUGCCAUCAAAUGAAGAAGAAAAUAGGAGCGGUGACUUAGUAGGUACUCGUAAUGAACAAUUCCAUAUUUUAGGAACAUAAUACGCCAAGCUUGUAAGAUUAUAUUGCUAUUUGCAAAAUUAUUUUUAAACAAUCCAAAAUGUUUUCUUCAAAUAAAUGGCGAGAGAAAUCUACUGUGUAACAGCUAAGUACUAGAACAAUAUAAAUUCUUAAAAGAAAAUACAAAAGCUGAAGUACCGUAGGUAGGACAAAUAAUUAUUGACAACAUUUUACAUAUGUAAAACGACAAGUUAAGCACAAAUGCCAAGUGAAAAGGUAGAAUUUAGGUACCUUAUCAGUUAUCCAUAGCUUAGUCUUGUCUGCCUGUAAGAGAUUCCAGUAAUUAAGAACAGUAUCAUCUUCGAGGAAUAAAAAGCCAUCCGCACUUGAAAACCGAUCAAAUAUCUUGGGCAGAUGCCUACAAAAUAUGUUGAGAGACAAUUAGCAAACAUAAAAGAUGCUUUGUAAAAGUAAUUAUCAUUUAACAUUCCAACAGGAUGACUCAAUACUGGUAAAACAGGCAUGACCUCACUUAACAGCUACAAUUUCCAGGGUUAACCAACCAUAAAUUGACCAUUUAACAACGAUUUGCUGCUUUUAGAAAGUCUUAAUUCAGAAGAAAGGAACAUACAAAACCUUAAUUGACUUAAGUACCAAAUGUGAUAACCUGUCAAAAAUAUAGAAAAAAAAACACACAAAAACAUGCAAUUAUUAUUGCAUUUAUAAUUCGUAAAACUCUAGUGGGAUUAUAAGGUAACUCUUCCCUUUUAGGGUUUGCUUACUAGGAAGAAUCAAAACAAGAAGAAGAAGAAUUCAUAAUCCGAGGUUAUGCUAUAAAAAAGUAAAAUAAUUAUGAAUCUUAGUGAAAAGGUUUCCAGUGCACCCCUUCCUCCUGGCAAAGCUUAGCUCAAGGUAUAAGAGAGAGCCUCCGUAUGAUAUAUCAUGGGAAAGAAGAGGUAGUACUUUGAUUGGAAAAGAGAGAUGCCACAACAAGAAAGGAACGGAUUCUUGAUGAUGAUGAAGAAAAUCAGGAAAGAGGGGCCAUUUAGAGAUUUUAAAAUGUCUGAAGGUACAGUCUGGAAUCAACAAAAACUAAUCACAAGGUAUAGCAAAUCCCGGUUUCAAAUACCAUGGUAAAUCUACUUCAUGCAAGAACUGUUUAAAGUACAACUUCGAUUCUUUAAGGCUAAUGGAAUGCCCUUUGCAAAAAGUAAGGUUAUGGAUCAAUUAUUUACGAUCAGGAGAGAGACUCAUUUAUUAUUUUAAAAUUCAAAUAAAAUAAUUAUUAGAUACACAAGUUGCUUUAUACAACAAAUAUCAACCUCCACUUUCCAAUAUAUUACAUUCAUUAUUUACUGGUCCCUCUGCAUUUACACCUCCAAUCUAUAAGAUAAUAUAAAGGAUCAAGAUUAACAUAAAUCAACGGGUUAAGAUCUUCAAUAUGAACAGAAAAAAAAAAAAACCAAGUAUAAAACGAAAUUAAGCAGUUUUCUAAAAGUCUGCAUCUACCUAAGCACAAUAUGAUAUCAUUUUCUUUAUCGCCUCAUGCAUGUAAUAACUGCCAAUUAUUUUCUGUGCAAAGCACGUGAAAGAAGAUGAAGAGACUUUCAUUUAAGCUGUCCAUGGAUCAGUUGCUUUUACAAAAAUUUCAUAUUGGUUGUUCGUGUAUAAAGUAAUUUAUGAAAAUGUGAUGAACAGAAACUAAUAAUUGUUAUCUAUGAAUAAUAUUGCGGUUAAUGAUUUAUGCCCAAAUUCAUUUUGUCCAAAGAUUUAAAGAACAGUUUAUCAGGACUUAUAUUGCAAAACCUCCCUGGCCAGGUACAGAUGAAAGAAAUUUAGGCAAAUAAUGGCUGAAAGCAAAAGCUAUCUAGUAAACCAGAAUAUCACUUUAGUCUAUCAAAACAAUAUUCAAAAGCAACAAACGUAACAAAUUAAAAAAGAUAUAUAUCAAUAUUCUAAGAAAAUGCACCAUGGAAAAAUAAAUUGAUAAAUUAAAAGUAUCAUGUGAAGGGCAAGUGAUGAUUCUUGUGGCAACUUACUUGUAAAUUUGAUCUAAUUGACCUUCUUCAAUGGCAAGAUCUGAAUUCUUCUGCGCAGAAAAGAUAACCACAGUUUUAAAUAUCCGCCCGUAAAGCAGUCUCCACUCCAGGGCAGUACGUUCCACAGGACCAUUGCAGAACAUGAUUAGCACGAUAUUUCCAAAAUUCUUCCUCCAUCGUAUCAAAUUCCCAAUCUCAGAACUAACCACCCCUGUUUCCUCCACUGCUAAAUGAACAGAUGGCAAUUUCUGAGGGAUAAAUUCUUUUCGAUCCCCAUGACCGAUAUUUGCCCUUGGCCUGUCCAGUUCCAAUGUCAUCAACCUUGGCUGCUGAUAACCUACGGCAACCAAGUCUUGAAGCCAAGCAGCAGUAAACUUGAGAUCCUGCUCGGUCCAAAACCCCUCCUCCGCCAUGGCAUAACUCAGUUCCAAUAUCUUCUCAAACAACCUAUGCUUGUUUGAUCUCCAUGACACCAAGAAUUUGAUCAAACGACCUACAUUCACAUGAAGAUCCUUCUCCUCUGAAAAGGGGUAUGCCUCAAUUCUGUCAUACCGAUGAACUGUUGGAGGAUACACAGCAACAUUACCACCAAUCUCCCACAAGAGCCGCUGUCCCCAGUAACCCCUCAAUACAUCUGAAGCCAUUGUACUAACAGAAACAGGGAGCAUCAAGGCCCAAAAGGCCGAUGAAUGGUAUAAUGUAUUGAACGAAUUCAAUGGCACCAUCAUACCUUGAGGAAAGGCCACUUUUGGUGCAUGCUCAUCAAACCUAAUAUCAAAGGCUUCCAAACCCGACUUCCUAGUAAAAUAAAACACGGAAUCAACAUCCGGUAACCCAUUCGAAAUCCCUUGCUGUAUGAACUGUUUCCCACCAAAGACUUCAGUGUAAAACUCCUCGUGCCCAAAGUCACCCACAUUUUCCAAUGGUAAUCCCCUAGGCCAAACUGAAUGUUGGCCGAAAUGAAUAUAAGGGUUGACUACAGUCCUAUUAGGAUUAUCAUGGCUAUACUGCAAUAUAACUUCUUGCCUAGCCCCUUCCCCUACUAAUUCUACAUCAAAAUGUUUCCCUAGAUCAUUAUCAAUUACUUCCCCACGAUCAUCAGCAUCGAAGAUCUUUUUGGCACCAUGUUGAAUCGCAAACAAGUAACCAACGCUCUUUCUAACAUAAGAAUCGUAAGGCAAAUGAUCCACAGAGCGAAAACCCAAAUUAGCUUGCAUAUCUAAAGACAAAAAAAUCGCACCUUUUAAGCUCCAAUCACUGGGAGUCCUGGAGUUCCCAAUUGCCAAAACUUGCCACCCUUUAAUCUUCACCAUCUUCUUCAAUGCAUCGGAGGGGUAAUUAGAAACGGAGACAACGACCCAUUGCUCUGAAUUGAAAUUAGCAUAAGGCGAAGUGCGGUCAGGAAUGGGUUUGAUGGAAUUCCAGUUGAUUUGAGGGAGAGAGAUGGAAUCCACGGCGCUCUGGGUUUCGGAUUGGAGGCAAAGGAGAAAAGCUGUGUUGGUGGAGGAGUAGAUGAAGAAAACGGCGGCGAUGGUGAGGAUUAGGACUAAGAUAGUGACGAUUCUGUAGCAGUUGUCGGGUACCCAUGCGGAGAAGUCGAGGUUUUUGGGUUCAGACAAUCUGUUGGGUUGAACAGUGGGGAGCUUUCUGAUCUGGGGAGGUUUUGGAGAUUUAGGAACUGCACGGUCUUGGACCAACAUUUGAUCUUUUCUUCUGAGAUAGAUUCUUCCAAACCUAAAUUCUUGCUAGAUCUUCACUUUUGCUCCUUAAUCUCAGCUUCAUUCAUAGAUUUCCCAAUUGCU
rnacentral:lncRNA from 1 species